rnacentral:rRNA from 1 species
AUUGAACGCUGGCGGCAGGCCUAACACAUGCAAGUCGAACGAGUUGCGGACGGGUGAGUAAUUUCUGGGAAACUGCCUGCUGGCUGUGGAUAACUCCUGGCAACGGUAGCUCAUCCCGCCUACCAUCUGAUGUGCCCCUAUGUGCUUAGCUUGUUGGUGGGGUAAAGGCUCACCCAGGCGACGAUCCCUAGCUGGUCUGAGAGGAUGACCAGCCACACUGGAACUGAGACACGGUCCAGACUCCUACGGGAGGCAGGAGUGGGGAAUAUUGCACAAUGGGCGCAAGCCUGAUGCAGCCAUGCCGCGUGUAUGAAGAAGGCCUUCGGGUUGUAAAGUACUUUCAGCGGGGAGGAGUUACCCGAAGAAGAAGCACCGGCUAACUCCGUGCCAGCAGCCGCGGUAAUUG